UAAAAUCGACGAUUUCAUCAAUUAAUCUACAAUUUCAUCAAUUACUACUACAUCAUUAAAAUACAUCAUAAUCUACUACUACUACUACUACUACUACUACUAAAUCAUUCAUCAUCAUUACCAUAUUAACUUAAUAUAAUCCAUAACAUAAGUUCAUGACAACAUUAAAAAAAAAUUCCGACAAUGACACAAAACAAAAUAAAAGACGGUCAAAUGCCCAACAACGUCCAGGCAACAUCCAAGGCAACAUCUAUAACCGUAAGAAACUAUUACAACAUAAAAAUUAAAAAUCAACCAUAAGAAAUGCCAUUACUUUGCUCCCCUGUCCCACCAACUUCUUCUAAUUUUAAUAACUUCCAACAUCCACACUUCCCAACUUAAAUAUGCACAAAUAAAAUUGAAAUGAGUAAAGUAACCAUAAAUAUAAUUAUAUAAAUAAUAUAUCAAAUUAAUAUAAAUGAUACCUUUUAUUGAAAUGAUUAAAGUAAACACUCAAUCACCAAUUGGUCAUUUGCUGCUUGUGUUUGUUGUGCUAGCAUUGGUCUCACAAAUUUUACAAAUAAAUAAAUUAAAUAUAUGAAAAUCAUUGUUUAUAAUAUUGAAUAUUACAAAUAAAAUAUCAAAAAUCAACAAAAUCAUGUUAUUACCUACUUUAACAAGUUCAUAAAAUUCAGUUUCUUCCUUGAUUGGUUCUAUUAUGCGAUCUCCGAAAAGAGUUGAUCGAAGCUAAUUUUCAAUGCAAAUCAAGGACUCAAUUGUUUUAGGAGUCAAAGAACUCCUAAAUGGGUUGAGAAUCGACCCUCGGUGAUAAAUGCCGACUCCGAAGCAACGGUGAAAACUGGAAUUGCCAAAACAUCUUUGGCAAUAUGAGACAAAAUUGGAUACCUAUCCCAAUUCAAACUCCACCAAUUCAAAAUAUCAAACUUGUCAUUCAUCAUUUCUAUUUUAUACGACAAGUAUCUUUCAACCUCAUUUUUCCCACCAGAUCCAUCUUGUGUACUUGCUUUCAUCUUUUUAUAUUGUGCAAAAGGGUCAAGAGAAAUAGAGCUAGCACACUCACUAAUCUACUAGUCUGAACCAUGCAAUUAGUCUUAGCAGCGCUGUUUGGAUCGCUAGAAUUGUAACUUUGAUAAAGCUUCAUCAACAACUCUUUAAGCCUAUUACACAACUCCUCAACCUUCUUGGUAUCAUACAAACUAUUAAAGCACCAUGUAACAAAGUCCAUCUUACAUUGAGGAUCAAGUACUGCUGCUAGAAUCAAUAACAUGUUGACCUUCUCCAAAUUAUCACCUCAAUAUUUGACAAACUUUGUUAUUAUAGAUUUGACCAUAUAGCUUAACAAAAUAUCAUCACUAUCAUCAAGAGACUUCAAAUGAACUUAAACUUUUCACAUCUCAUUCAACUAAUUAUUCGCAGUCACAAAUUUAGAACUACUAAAUUUUAAGUCACAUCAUAAAUGACUGAUAGAAAUUUGACUAACCUUCUAGCAUUGUCCCAAUCAUCUUCCAUUGGUGGCCUCAGCCUGUAUUUUUUGUUCUCGUUCUCAUCCUCUCCGUCAACUCCGAACCAAUUAACAUAGUGUCCAUUUUCAUCUUUUAAUCUAUCAAAUUAUUUUUCAAAUUUCAACACGGAUCUCAACAGAAUGUUGACUUCCACAUAGUCGGCACAACUAACACUAUAAACCCAUUAUAUGAGAUUUUUUUUGCAUAAACACAAGGUUUGAAUUUUUACAAUCUUGAUAGGGAAGAUCUAACGUAUCUCACUGCAUUGCGAAUACUAUCUAUUGAUGUCUUCGCUGCAUCCAACCCAUCCUUCAUAGUCAAAUUUAUUAUAUGUAUUGAACAUCUCACAUGCAAAUACAAACCAUUUAAAACCAAUGAAUCUCAAUUCCAAUUUUCUAACUUUUUCUUCAAAUAAUUGACUGCUUUUUUAUUAGUACUUGCAUUGUCCACGGUAAUUGUGAACAAACUUUCAAUACCCCAAUAAAUUAUACGCUUCUUAAUGAGCUUCCCAAUGACCUCUCCUUUAUAAUUAGAAAUUGGUGCAAAACUAAGUAUUCUCUUAUGUAACUCCCAUUUUUUGUCAAUAAAAUGGGCAGUUAUCCCCAUAUAAUUACACAUUUGAAUUGAAGUACAAGUAUUUGUAGUGAUUCAUACCCUUUGACAAUUUGCAGUGAACAUAUUUUUCAACAUCUUUUUCUCAUUCUCAUAUAAUUGAAGACUAUCCCUUGUAAUUAUCCUUCGUGACAGCACAUCAAACUUUGGACAAAAAGUAGCCAUAAACUCUAAAAACCCCUCAGCCUCCACGAAUUUAAAGGGCAACUCAUCUUUAAUAAUCAUCUUUACAAGUGUCUUCCUAUAAGCUUCUUUAUUAAAACAAACAUAAACAAGCGCAACAUUAUUUUUCGCUUUUUUUCCUCUAGUUAGCUUUGAAAACGAUUGCCAAACAUCUGAUCUCAAGCGCCUACCACUUUUUUUCAUUCUCAACACUCUCUUUAAAAUCAUCCUUCAUAAUUUCCUCUACAGCAUUGUUAUUUCCUUCCAUCCAGCACACAAGGCCUAUUAUAAUCAAUGUAUAAUAAAUAAUAAAUAAAAUAAUUUACAAAUUUGUAUUUGAAAAAAAAAGGCAAGAUUUUUGGACUAAAAUGAAGAAUUUUUAGAAUUAUAGUUACUACUUUUAAUAUCAAAACUUUUGGCCCAAAAUGUAAAUAAAAUAAAAUAAGUCUUUGUGCCAUAAUGAAAAUUAGCAAAAUAUUAAGGACUAAAAUGAUAUUUUAUCUUGUUGACCUUCCGUCAAGGACUAUUCUCAAAAGUUAGCAAACAAAUUAAACCAUAAUAGAAUUCCUAUAUGCAAAUAUUUCCUAAAUAUUGGGUUAUACUAACAUUUUAUAAAGAAAAUGGAUCUAAACGAUAGUAUCCCUCCAUCAUCUUCAACAAUUCGUGACUUCCUUAGUCUUUACCCAGCACUACCAGCAGCAGUGUCAGUCUCCAAACGAAAAAAUUGAAAAAAUAUAGCAACACGCUCAUAUCCAGGCAAAGCUAAUAAAACUAAAUAUUAUUAAUAAUUUAAGCAAACAUGAAAAAAGAACAGCUCAAAGAGAUAUUUCCAACAAAAAAGGGCCCAUUAAAAAAAAAAAACAGAACAAGUUAGUCAUGAAUGAAAACAAACUCAUUACCUGACUAACUAGGUGGUGACGGAGCAAUGAAAAGAAUGGCAGCGGUAGGUCGGCAGCAAAGAAAAGGCAGAACGGGCAAAAGCAGAUGCGAGUUAGGGUUUGAGUUGUGGGUUUGUGGUUGUGAUGUGCAGUUGAAAGUGAGAGAGAGAGUGUGUGGUGCAAAGUGCAAAUGUGUAAUUUGUGUAUAUAUAUGUUCUAGUGAAAUUAUGAAAAUGUCUUAAUUUCAGUUCGGUUAAGAUUUUAUAACUUUUGAUCCGAAAAUCAAGCCGAAACAAACCAUUUGAUUCGAUAUUUAUAAAUUCAUAUUUUUGUUUUUAAAAAACCAAACCGAAAC
rnacentral:lncRNA from 1 species